CAAAUAUUCCUUAUUUAGACAAGCCCUUUAUUGAGCCCUAUAAACUGGAGAACAAUAAACUUCAAGCCGUAUUUUGCAAAGAGCUCGAAGAUGUGAAGAACUGCUGAUCUCUUGUUCUGACUGUCUGGGAACAGGAAUAUCUGCCUCAAGUCUGAGAGCUGUGAUGCCUUUUUUCACCUUACUGAGAAUGGGUAGCAGGUGCUGCACAGUUUAAUGAGCUGUCAUGGGUACUACGGAGCUGACACUGCGAACUGGUUUUUCAUGAGUCUGUGAAUCACCUAAUGCAGCAAAACCAGAACUUGAUUAAGGAGCUGUGGCAUCACUGUAAUGUAACAUUUCACCGACUACAGUUAUGGGUAUCUGAAAGGCAAGCUCCUCUGCCGGGUGGGCUGCACAGCUGUCUUCUCUCAGUAGGUGGUGCCCAGAGCCUGUGGCAUGUACCCCUGAGUGAGCAAUGGUAGUUCGGGAGGUGCUUGAGGAGAUGGAGUGGCCCCUGAGGUGGGGAACCUCGGUAAAAAAAAGUCUAUUUCUACUUCAUAGCCUCGUACCCUCCCACCCCAGCACUGAAGUACAACCAGAAGCCAAGGUUACAUUCCAGAAAAGAGCAGAGCUGUCCUGGUUGAACUGUUCAGAUGAAGUGGAGUUUUAAUCUAAUAAAUCCAGUAUGUGACUUCAAUUCU